CCCUUAGAUGUCCUGGGCCGCACGCGCGCUACACUGAUGCAUGCAACGAGUUUUACUUCUCCUGGGUCGAGAGGCCCGGGUAAUCUGUUGAACGUGCAUCGUGAUAGGGAUAGAUUAUUGCAAUUAUUAAUCUUGAACGAGGAAUUCCUAGUAAACGCAGUUCAUCAAACUGCAUUGAUUACGUCCCUGCCCUUUGUACACACCGCCCGUCGCACCUACCGAUUGGAUGGUCCGGUGAAGCCUCGGGAUUGUGGCGGUUGCCUUUAUUGGUGGCCGCCGCGAGAACUUGUCUAAACCUUAUCAUCUAGAGGAAGGUGAAGCCGUAACA
rnacentral:rRNA from 1 species